rnacentral:rRNA from 1 species
UACGUAGGGCGCAAGCGUUGUCCGGAAUUAUUGGGCGAAAGAGCUCGUAGGUGGCUUGUCACGUCGGGUGUGAAAGCUUGGGGCUUAACUCCAGGUCUGCAUUCGAUACGGGCUGGCUAGAGGUAGGUAGGGGAGAACGGAAUUCCUGGUGUAGCGGUGAAAUGCGCAGAUAUCAGGAGGAACACCGGUGGCGAAGGCGGUUCUCUGGGCCUUACCUGACGCUGAGGAGCGAAAGCGUGGGGAGCGAACAGG